GACGAACGCUGGCGGCGUGCUUAACACAUGCAAGUCGAACGGAAAGGCCCUGCUUGCAGGGUCCUCGAGUGGCGAACGGGUGAGUAACACGUGGGUGAUCUGCCCUGCACUUCGGGAUAAGCUUGGUAAACUGGGUCUAAUACCGGAUAGGAGCCAUCUUUAGAGUGGUGGUUGGAAAGUUUUUUCGGUGUAGGAUGAGCUCGCGGCCUAUCAGCUUGUUGGUGGGGUAAUGGCCUACCAAGGCGGCGACGGGUAGCCGGCCUGAGAGGGUGGACGGCCACACUGGGACUGAGAGACGGCCCAGACUCCGACGGGAGGGAGCAGGGGGGAAUAUUGCACAAGGGGCGCAAGCCUGAUGCAGGGAGGCCGCGUGGGGGAUGAAGGCCUUCGGGUUGGAAACUCGUUUCGCUAGGUACGAAGCUUUUUGUGACGGUACCUAGAUAAGAAGCACCGGCUAACUACGUG
rnacentral:rRNA from 1 species